GUCAAGAACUCACCGUCAACCCUAACGGGUAUGACGGGAGCUUGAAAAAGCUCGCUCCUUGACCAGACUCAGUUCGCAAUAACUACGUUAUUCAGUUCAUGAAACCUACAGAUACGUGCCAGUUUGUAGCUCUUUCGUACAGUUUUCAACAGGCGUCAGGAUAUUCUAAUGCUUCAUCCUUCAUGCUGCAUUAAGCUGAUGUGCUUUUCAAUUGGAUAUUCCA
rnacentral:ncRNA from 1 species